CAGUCGCCACGGGAAUACGAAGGGGGCUAGCGUUGCUCGGAAUUACUGGGCGUAAAGGGAGCGUAGGCGGACAUUUAAGUCAGGGGUGAAAUCCCAGAGCUCAACUCUGGAACUGCCUUUGAUACUGGGUGUCUUGAGUGUGAUAGAGGUAUGUGGAACUCCGAGUGUAGAGGUGAAAUUCGUAGAUAUUCGGAAGAACACCAGUGGCGAAGGCGACAUACUGGAUCAUUACUGACGCUGAGGCUCGAAAGCGUGGGGAGCAAACAGGAUUAGAUACCCGGGUAGUCCCUGUCUCUUAUAU
rnacentral:rRNA from 1 species